rnacentral:rRNA from 1 species
AUAUGCCGAGAGGUGAAACGAAUUUCGCCUGAGGAUGAGCCCGCGUCUGAUUAGCUGGUUGGUGGGGUAAUGGCCCACCAAGGCGACGAUCAGUAGCUGGUCUGAGAGGAUGAUCAGCCACACUGGGACUGAGACACGGCCCAGACUCCUACGGGAGGCAGCAGUGGGGAAUUUUCCGCAAUGGGCGAAAGCCUGACGGAGCAACGCCGCGUGGGGGAUGAAGGCCUCUGGGCUGUAAACCUCUUUUCUCAAGGAAGAAGACAUGACGGUACUUGAGGAAUAAGCCACGGCUAAUUCCGUGCCAGCAGCCGCGGUAAUACGGGAGUGGCAAGCGUUAUCCGGAAUUAUUGGGCGUAAAGCGUCCGCAGGCGGCCCUGUAAGUCUGUCGUUAAAGCGUGGAGCUUAACUCCAUUUCAGCGAUGGAAACUACAGGGCUUGAGUGUGGUAGGGGCAGAGGGAAUUCCCGGUGUAGCGGUGAAAUGCGUAGAUAUCGGGAAGAACACCAGUGGCGAAGGCGCUCUGCUGGGCCAUAACUGACGCUCAUGGACGAAAGCCAGGGGAGCGAAAGGGUUUAGAUACCCCUGUAGUCCUGGCCGUAAACGAUGAACACUAGGUGUCGGGGGAAUCGACCCCCUCGGUGUCGUAGCCAACGCGUUAAGUGUUCCGCCUGGGGAGUACGCACGCAAGUGUGAAACUCAAAGGAAUUGACGGGGGCCCGCACAAGCGGUGGAGUAUGUGGUUUAAUUCGAUGCAACGCGAAGAACCUUACCAGGGUUUGACAUCCUGCGAAUCCCUUGGAAACUUGGGAGUGCCUUCGGGAGCGCAGAGACAGGUGGUGCAUGGCUGUCGUCAGCUCGUGUCGUGAGAUGUUGGGUUAAGUCCCGCAACGAGCGCAACCCACGUCUUUAGUUGCCAGCAUUCAGUUGGGCACUCUAGAGAGACCGCCGGUGAUAAACCGGAGGAAGGUGUGGAUGACGUCAAGUCAUCAUGCCCCUUACAUCCUGGGCUACACACGUACUACAAUGCUACGGACAGAGGGCAGCAAGCUCGCGAGAGUUAGCAAAUCCCAUAAACCGUGGCUCAGUUCAGAUCGUAGGCUGCAACUCGCCUACGUGAAGGAGGAAUCGCUAGUAAUCGCAGGUCAGCAUACUGCGGUGAAUACGUUCCCGGGCCUUGUACACACCGCCCGUCACACCAUGGAAGUUGGCCAUGCCCGAC